rnacentral:lncRNA from 1 species
UUGGAAUACAGUGAUAAAUUCAGGUUCCACUUCUUUAGGGUCAGUGAGUUUGAUUCCAGCAUCAGUGUAUGCUGAGGUAAUGUUAUUCUGAGAUGUUCUGAUUUUCCAUUGGGCAUGGAAAUCUUUGGUGUUUGCAUCACCACAUUCAAUCCAAACAGCUUUGGAUUUCUAUCUCAUAACCUGCUCCUCCACAGCACACCACUUCUCAAUUUCCUCCAGCAAUGCUUUCUCUUUAUCAAACAGUAGUUGUGAAACUAAGCAUUUCUGAAGUUGGUGUUGGGUAACAUCCAGUUCCUCUCUAGCCUGCCCAAGUCUUUGCUUAUAUGUAGCCAUGUAUGCAUUCAGUUCCCUUAAUUGUUGC